rnacentral:rRNA from 1 species
UGGGGAAUAUUGCGCAAUGGGCGAAAGCCUGACGCAGCGACGCCGCGUGAGGGAUGAAGGUUUUCGGAUCGUAAACCUCUGUCAGAAGGGAAGAAACCGCACUGUGCUAAUCAGCAGUGCCUUGACGGUACCUUCAAAGGAAGCACCGGCUAACUCCGUGCCAGCAGCCGCGGUAAUACGGAGGGUGCAAGCGUUAAUCGGAAUUACUGGGCGUAAAGCGCACGUAGGCUGCUUUGUAAGUCAGGGGUGAAAUCCCACGGCUCAACCGUGGCACUGCCUUUGAUACUGCUUAGCUUGAAUCCGGGAGAGGGUGGCGGAGUGCCAGGUGUAGGAGUGAAAUCCGUAGAUAUCUGGAGGAACAUCAGUGGCGAAGGCGGCCACCUGGACCGGUAUUGACGCUGAGGUGCGAAAGCGUGGGGAGCAAGCAGG